rnacentral:lncRNA from 1 species
CCAUUGUUGUAGGUUUUCAAGAUAAGCUGAUUUGUACUGUAGCACCAUUGACCACAUCAGCAGAUGAAGAAUCAGCAACAAAAAAGAUCAAAAGAUGGGAUGAAGAAAUAGACAAUGAUUUAGUAAAAGAGAUGCUCAAUUCAAAUAUUUUUAGCUACAAAUAUCAUUCGAAGAGCCAAGGUUUGCGAUUAAUCCAUUCGGAGCGACAACAGACUGAAAUUUAUUACCA